AAAUGUUAUUAGUCAGGUGCUUGGUAAUCAGAUGUUAUUAGUCAGGUGUUUGGUAAUCUGAUGUUAUUAGUCAGGUGUUUGGUAAUCAGAUGUUAUUAGUCAGGUGCUUGGUAAUCUGAUGUUAUUAGUCAGGUGUUUGGUAAUCAGAUGUUAUUAGUCAGGUGUUUGGUAAUCAAAUGUUAUUAGUCAGGUGCUUGGUAAUCAGAUGUUAUUAGU